AUGCACCAGAAGUCAUAUUAAUUCCCUAUAUGAAUAUCCAUUUCUACUUUGUCAGCUGGGAUUUUCUUAUAUUCAGUUGAUUUUCAUGGGUGGUAUAUGA
rfam:Ricinus communis ctg_1100012354700, whole genome shotgun sequence.